GAUAUGGACUUUUUAGAUUCAGAGGGAUUUGAGAUUGCUAACUUAAUUAGAGUCAUAGGAUGAAAAUUUAUCUACACUGCUGAAGCUCCGAUAUUUAUGAAGUUAGUUACAAAAUUUUAUGAAAAUAUUUUAUUUGAAGAACAUACUGUACUAUCUUUAGUGAAGGGAGAAGAAAUUUAUUUGGAUGAUAAAAUAUUAGAAGAAAUUUUAAAACCUCUGA
rnacentral:lncRNA from 1 species